rnacentral:rRNA from 1 species
AGUUAUUCUUCGGCACUAAUAAGUGGAGUAAUUUUUUUACAUAUUAUAAUAUUAGCCGUCGCAGUACUACGAACGCAUGUUUAAAAUUGAAAGAACUUGGCGGCCGUUUAACCUACCAGGGGAACAUGUGCCUUAAAACGAUGGUCCACGCUUUACCUUACCCUGUCUUGUAAAUAAUAACUUUAUUUUAACUUAUAAAGGUGGGGUCAGCCGCUAUACCGCCGUUGUCACUUCCCGGUCUGAGCGGUACUCAAAGGGGGGAAUUUCGGUACGUAUCCUUAAAUAUUUAAGGCUCUACUGUACCAUGAAGACAGGUUAAGGUAGCGCCUAUGACAGGGGGAGUAUGUGUUACAAGCUUAAUUUUAGAGAGGAAACUCAUAACGGAUUCUUUGAGGAAGGUUAGUCUUAGAUGAAGGUGAACUUGGCAGUAAGGAGGGAGUAAGGAGCCCACCUGAAGAGUGCUCUGAUCGUGUGUUCAAAUCGCCCGUCGCUCCCUUCGAAAGCGGGGAU